GCCGGGCGUGGUGGCGGGCGCCUGUAAUCCCAGCUACUCGGGAGGCUGAGGCAGAAGAAUCGCUUGAACCCGGGGGGCGUAGCUUGCAGUGAGCCAAGAUAGUGCCACUGCACUCCAGCCUGGGUGAAAGAGCGAGACUCUGUCUCAA
ensembl:misc_RNA Metazoa_SRP Metazoan signal recognition particle RNA